rnacentral:sRNA from 16 species
GACGGCCAGACCGAGUAGGCGAAAGCCGAAAGCAGCGCCAUUGAGGAAGGAAGGCAUGACCGUCGGCCGCGAGGCCGUAAAUACGCACCCCGCGAGCGAUGGCGGACGCUUCUUGCAUGGCCGUGGCCUUAGGCGCUCGACCCGGUUUCAUGCCAUCGUCUCACGCGGCUGCUGCACGAACGCCAUUGAAAAGGCCGUGCGGGGUGCCCUCCUAUGAAUUCGGAUGA